rnacentral:rRNA from 1 species
UACGGGGGGGGCAAGCGUUGUUCGGAAUUACUGGGCGUAAAGGGCUCGUAGGUUGCCAACUAAGUCAGACGUGAAAUCCCUCGGCUUAACCGGGGAACUGCGUCUGAUACUGGAUGGCUUGAGUUCGGGAGAGGGAUGCGGAAUUCCAGGUGUAGCGGUGAAAUGCGCAGAUAUCAGGAGGAACACCAAUGGCGAAGGCAGCUCGCUGGGACGUGACUGACGCUGAGACGCGAAAGCGUGGGGAGCAAACAGG